CAGCAGCCGCGGGAAUACGAAGGGGGCUAGCGUUGCUCGGAAUGACUGGGCGUAAAGGGCGCGUAGGCGGCGAUCAAAGUCAGGCGUGAAAUUCCUGGGCUCAACCUGGGGGCUGCGCUUGAUACUUGGUUGCUUGAGUGGGGAAGAGGGUCGUGGAAUUCCCAGUGUAGAGGUGAAAUUCGUAGAUAUUGGGAAGAACACCGGUGGCGAAGGCGGCGACCUGGUCCUUGACUGACGCUGAGGCGCGAAAGCGUGGGGAGCAAACAGGAUUAGAUACCCCGGUAGUCCCUGUCUCUUAUAC
rnacentral:rRNA from 1 species